GAUUUCUGAGCACUCAGUGCUAGACCGGCCGCGGUUUCGCGUGUCAGUGUUUGGUACUGUGCUCAUCCUUUCAAUCACGCUGUCUCACAUCUUCAUUGAUGUGAACAGUGUAUUGAAUCGUUUACUUUGAAAAAAUUAGAGUGUUUCAGGCAGGCUCAAUUGCUAUGAAUACAUUAGCAUGGAAUAAUAAUUUAGGACUUCGGUUCUAUUUUGUUGGUUUCUAGGACUGAAGUAAUGAUUGAUAGGGACAGUUGGGGGUGCUAGUAUUCAGCGGCCAGAGGUGAAAUUCUCGGAUUCGCUGAAGACUAACUUAAGCGAAAGCAUU
rnacentral:rRNA from 1 species